CUACAUAGUAAUGAACUGUACUGUAAGUAUAAGGAAUUCAGAUAGAAUGUUUUUGAUGGAGGAUUAAACUUUGACAUUUUCUUUUCUUUCAGGUUAGGUGCCAGCAUGAUUUGGCAGUAAGACCUCACUACAUCGCCAAGCACGAGUGGACCACCAAGGGUGUUAGUGACCAAGGGAUCAUGGGUCUUUAGUGUUCUACUAAAGAAAGAGGAGUCUGAUGAACCAGAUCUUGGAGAUGUUCCGGGGAUAGUUUGCUAGAUCUCUUUCACUAGCAUGCUAUUAUUACAGCUUCAAGUGAGGAUGCUUUUGCUCAGACCACUGUAGAACCGGGCCUGGGCUUGGCUAACCGCUCCAAACUACAACACAGCUGACAUCAGGGAUUCCCAUCUUUUGAAUGAGUGACACUUGUUUGCACAAUUACUGUCUGCUCUAAUUUUUUGGCUUUAUAUAUGCACCCAGCCUUAUCACUAACAGCAGUUGUUGAAUGUAAACCUGUAAAAAGAAAUAAUUUUGUAAAAUGUUUGCAUUUUGUCAUUUUACUGUUGCUUCGGUCUUGUCCUUUUCAGUUUGAAGCCAGAUAUCCUUGUACACAUUGUCUUUACAGGUUUUCCUUGAUAUAACACAUUUACUUGACUCUUGUUAGUGAUGAGGUUGGGGAAUUUAGGGCAAAAAGGCUUUUGUUUUAAAAGGUUAAAAAGACUUAUUUCAUUUAUCGAGAUGUACCAAAGUACAUCUGCAUUUGAUGUUUGUUAAUGAAAUGCUU